AUGCGGGAUAAGCAUAAACGCCAAGAAAAAAGAUCAGAGGCAGUACUAGUACUCCAACUGCUAGUCUGUAUUUUGACUACAGGAAGACCAUGGUGCAGAAUACUAUUCCAUGAGGUUGUCAGACGCGUCCGGCGAUUUAAAAGAUCAGACAAAGUUAACAGUAUAUCUGAGAACUCUUUUCGUCCGACUAUAUCAUCCAAUGUUGGUGCCCGCGUUUAUCUGACAAAUCACCAGGUGUUGUCUUUUCUAUAUAUUCUAUCAACACAUAUUAAAUGGUUUGAGAACAAUUACUCUGGUCUAUGA
rnacentral:rRNA from 1 species